rnacentral:snRNA from 1 species
CGGCGUGCCUCGGCAUCAGCG